GUCUAACUGCAUGUGCUCAUUCUCCUAAUCCAUUUACACUUUGUGCACAUAGCUUUUUGAAGGGAGGGUAGAACCUGCCUUCGAAAUUUACAAGCUCUUAUCUGUGAUUAUGAAUGUUUGACUGCCGCAAGGCAAAAUUUAAUACAACUUUUAACAACGGAUCUCUUGGCUCUCGCAUCGAUGAAGAACGCAGCGAAAUGCGAUAAGUAAUGUGAAUUGCAGAAUUCAGUGAAUCAUCGAAUCUUUGAACGCACCUUGCGCUCCCUGGUAUUCCGGGGAGCACGCCUGUUCGAGUGUCAUGAAACUCUCAAACAAGAUAGAUUUGUUUCUGUCUUUGUUUGGAUUUGGACUUUGCUGUGUCAAUGCAGCUGGUCUUAAAUGUAUUAGCUGGUCCUGAUGAAGGUUUGGUUCUACUCAGCGUGAUAAUUAUCUAACGUUGAGGACAGUCUCCGGACUGGCCAGGCUCUCUUUGGAUUGCUUCUAAUCAUCUUAGGAUAAUUGCUUAAUAUCUGACCUCGAAUCAGGUGGGACUACCCGCUGAACUUAAGCA
rnacentral:rRNA from 1 species